rnacentral:rRNA from 1 species
UACGAAGGGGGCUAGCGUUGCUCGGAAUCACUGGGCGUAAAGGGUGCGUAGGCGGGUCUUUAAGUCAGGGGUGAAAUCCUGGAGCUCAACUCCAGAACUGCCUUUGAUACUGAGGAUCUUGAGUUCGGGAGAGGUGAGUGGAACUGCGAGUGUAGAGGUGAAAUUCGUAGAUAUUCGCAAGAACACCAGUGGCGAAGGCGGCUCACUGGCCCGAUACUGACGCUGAGGCACGAAGGC